GACGUAGGGGACGAGCGUUGUCCGGAUUUAUUGGGCGUAAAGAGCGCGUAGGCGGUUUGGUAAGUCGGAUGUGAAAUCCCGGGGCUCAACCCCGUGACUGCACCCGAAACUGCCCGGCUAGAGGUAGGUAGGGGAGAUCGGAAUUCCUGGUGUAGCGGUGAAAUGCGCAGAUAUCAGGAAGAACACCCGUGGCGAAAGCGGCUCUCUGGGACGGUACUGACGCUGAGACGCGAAAGCGUGGGGAGCGAACAGG
rnacentral:rRNA from 1 species